UAGAGAUACAGUGAUUUGUGUGCAGAGUUCCAGGUCGAGAAAGCCUAUAAAUGUUCUUGCAUAAACUAGUCAUAAGCUACUGCCAUAUUUUGAGCUAACUCAUGUGACUGGAAGGGUGUAGAUAGUUAACACAGCAAUGGAAACUGGGUUCUAGCCAGAACCCAGUUCGUUUGCUGAUGAACACAUUCAGUCCUAUUCAGUCUGUAUUGAACAUCAGAAGGGAGCACCUGUUCUAUUGUUAAUGAAUUUCUGAACACCUCUUAGAAUUGUGUAAUAGGCACCAAAAAAACUCUGUUUCACAGCAUGAAUUCCCUUUAGAUCUUCACUUAAGAACUAUAUGUCGACUUCCAUGGUCCAGGAACAGCAUUUCAGCUAGAAGAUGAAGCAGUUAGAGGAUGCCCUCAACAAGAUGAAUGUCAGCUGAAACACUAAAAAGUGGAUAUAAGUAAGAAAUAAAAGACACCGUCCCUUUCCUCAAGGAACAAAGACUAACAUGAAAUAUUAUUGAUUAUUGAUAUGCUUUUUUUUUUCUUUUCAAAAACGGAAGUUAGAAUUGGUCCAUGGAAAGAAAUUACGAAGUAUUUUCAAUUUGCAGAGCUAUCAGCGCAUGGAAAAGGAAGACCCUGA
rnacentral:lncRNA from 1 species